rnacentral:rRNA from 1 species
AUUGAACGCUGGCGGCAGGCUUAACACAUGCAAGUCGAGCGGGGUGAUGGUGCUUGCACUAUCACUUAGCGGCGGACGGGUGAGUAAUGCUUAGGAAUCUGCCUAUUAGUGGGGGACAACAUCUCGAAAGGGAUGCUAAUACCGCAUACGUCCUACGGGAGAAAGCAGGGGAUCUUCGGACCUUGCGCUAAUAGAUGAGCCUAAGUCGGAUUAGCUAGUUGGUGGGGUAAAGGCCUACCAAGGCGACGAUCUGUAGCGGGUCUGAGAGGAUGAUCCGCCACACUGGGACUGAGACACGGCCCAGACUCCUACGGGAGACAGCAGUGGGGAAUAUUGGACAAUGGGGGGAACCCUGAUCCAGCCAUGCCGCGUGUGUGAAGAAGGCCUUAUGGUUGUAAAGCACUUUAAGCGAGGAGGAGGCUACUGAGACUAAUACUCUUGGAUAGUGGACGUUACUCGCAGAAUAAGCACCGGCUAACUCUGUGCCAGCCGCCGCCGUAA